rnacentral:rRNA from 1 species
UACGUAGGGGACAAGCGUUGUCCGGAAUUAUUGGGCGUAAAGCGCGUGUAGGCGGCCAAGUAAGUCUUGCGUGAAAUCCUGAGGCUCAACCUCAGGCCUGCGCGGGAUACUGCUUGGCUAGAGUCCGGAAGAGGAGAGUGGAAUUCCUGGUGUAGCGGUGGAAUGCGCAGAUAUCAGGAGGAACAUCCGUGGCGAAGGCGGCUCUCUGGGACGGUACUGACGCUGAGACGCGAAAGCGUGGGGAGCGAACAGG